GUAACAUUUUUGUAGUUGAAUGACAACGAUGGUUUUUCAAGCCAUAAGUCCUGGUUAGAGCCCUGGCAGAAAUU
rnacentral:tRNA from 1 species